GAGGAAUAUUGGUCAAUGGGCGAGAGCCUGAACCAGCCAAGUAGCGUGAAGGAUGACUGCCCUAUGGGUUGUAGACUUCUUUUAUAAGGGAAUAAAGUGGAGUAUGUAUACUCCUUUGUAUGUACCUUAUGAAUAAGGAUCGGCUAACUCCGUGCCAGCAGCCGCGGUAAUACGGAGGAUCCGAGCGUUAUCCGGAUUUAUUGGGUUUAAAGGGAGCGUAGGCGGAUGUUUAAGUCAGUUGUGAAAGUUUAAGGCUCAACCUUGAAAUUGCAGUUGAUACUGGACGUCUUGAGUGCAUUAAAUGUGGGCGGAAUUCGUGGUGUAGCGGUGAAAUGCUUAGAUAUCACGAAGAACUCCAAUUGCGAAGGCAGCUCACAGGACUGUAACUGACGCUGAUGCUCGAAAGUGUGGGUAUCAAAC
rnacentral:rRNA from 1 species